ensembl:antisense B430219N15Rik RIKEN cDNA B430219N15 gene
CACACACACACACACACACACACACACACACACACACAAACACACAUCCAAUAAAAAGCCCAUCCGGGAAGCGAUAGACCUUCAGCCUCCCUCAGUCGCUAGCCCGAGUGGCCCCGCGACCAAGAAAGGCACUCCCUCCUGGUCGCGGCCGAGCAGACACAGGUGGCCUGGAAAAUUGCUAAUUGGGCAACACAAACAUCUCCAGGGCCCAGGACCGGGCGCUAACCCAGGAAGGAGCCAUUACAAACGACCGAAGUCACUAGCGAUCACGCAUUUUCGACAGCAAAACCUGGCAGGAUCCGAACCGAUUCGAGAGGCGCUAGGAAACUCAAGUUCGAUGGCCGCAGUCUUGACCACACUUUCAAGGACGCCUGCACGCCUUCCUUGCGUUCCCUUUCGGGGGACCCACCCCACCCGGCAUCCGGGAAAGCCCCCCCUUUCUCUCCCGGCGGCCAGACCCGGUCCAGCCCCGCACUCUCGGCUGUCCACCUGCGGGAGGGGGCAGCGUCACCCCGCCCGGGCUCCCGGAGGUCCAGGCAGAGGAGCGGCUUGUUGCGGACGCCCAGCCCUACCUGCGGGGCUGUGGACGGCGGCCUGGGCGCGUUGGUGGUCAGCCAUCCCGCGGCUGGCAGCGCUAUGAACAGCAACAACCGGACGGACAGCGGCGCCGACAGGCCGCCCUCCAUCUUGGACAACACCGGCCCGGCGCGGCGGGAGGUGAGGGCGUGGCGGUCCGGGGCGGGGCGGGGCCUAGGGGAGGGGAGGGGCCGAGGGGCGGGACCGACCCCUCCCAAAUGGGGCGGGUCGACCGAGCUGCUGGGGCUGCGCAGGCCUUUGACGUCUAUGGGCGGAGCCAACUUUGUGAGCGUCCUCCGGGAGUUUGAGAUGAGAAAGGGGUUUUCUCCAAACAAGUGCAAUUCUUUACGAAGCCUUUACUUUUGGAGUGUGAUUUUGUUUUCUCUUUCGAAACAGGAUCUCGAAACAGUAGCCUAGGCUAGCUUUGAACUACUUACUGAUCCUGCUGGAAUUACAGAAGUGUGCCACCCUCUCACCUCAACCUUGAUGGUACUUUUUCAUUAGUAUCAAUAUGUCGAUAUACUU